UUUUAACCGAACACAAAGAAAAGUAAGAAAUGAACCUAUAUGACUCGCUCCUGGUAACUGUUAGCUGUCAAUCAUGGCAUACUAAAAAACGUAUAAAUGAGAACUUUCGGAGAAUUUACAACGAUGCUUAAUUCUCGUAUAGUCUUUCUCGAAUUACAAACGGAAAAUGCGUUUUGCAAGCCGUCAAAUCAAAAUUCCAUACCCAUCCUUUCUUCUACUGACUACUUUGGCUGAAUUAUUGUGAAAUUUUUGUAAAAACUGACAUUCGUCGACAGUGUGUUGUUAUAAAUGUAGCACGGAAUCAAAAUAUUUACCUAUUUGAAACACUCUUGACAAGACGACGACAGAGCAUAAUGAAGAAGUUGAUUUUGGUAAUUUAUGUACUUAUGACGAUUAUAGUGGCUGAAUGUGCAAAAUCAAAGAGGCCGAAAAUAAAAUUCUGUCCCAUGAUGUCUUCAAUGCCUCCAAACUACUGCCCACCAAAGCUGCCACCAAAGAAAUGUGUUGGAAAAAACAAGAACCCCUGCAAAGACAGCAAGUGCUCAAAACGUGGAGCAAGAUGUGUCCCAAAUUAUUGUGGAUCUUGCCACGCUUGCUGGUAUACUAACCCUUUUGUGGUGGCUAAGGAUUGUUAAUCAAUUAUGAAAAUCAUUGAGUUAAUUAAGAAAAAGGAAUCAUAAUUUUGACCUAUUGUUACAUAAUAGUUGACAUGUAUAAAAAGUAUAAUCAGAUAAUUCGAGAAUCAAAUAUAACUCUUUGAUGAAAUAUAUUUGUCUGUAUUGGAGAGUGAUUAAUGGGGGAUCGGGUGAGUGCAUUAUAUCUAAAUGACGCAUCCAUCUAUAAUAUUUAACACAUUGUGCGGGUAUGUACUUGUUUUAAUUAUCGUCAAUAGACCUUAAAAAACUUUUGAAGAACUUCUAAUAUUUCAAAUAAAUCUGUUCUCACAAGAAAAUUGUUUCAAAAUUUUCUAUAUGUUUCCAAGCUUAUGUUAAUAGUUAGUUAGAACGAUUGCUUUGUUAGCUAUUCUAUUUUCACUCAUGUUCAAAUAUGGUUUGAAUACUCCCGACGAAUGACUUAGUUUCAGUAGUUAUCCAGGAUAAAUAGUAGUUAUCGUAUAGGUGAAACCUUCCUUUGCCCAUGUCAAGGUAACGCACAAAUUAUAGACUCUUGGUCGCAGUUCGUAUAGUAAAGUGUUGAUGAAAGACGGACAUAUUGAAUAAUUGCACAUGGGUAUGAUUAAUCGAUACAGUCAUUCAUCACAUCUAUUUCCCCACCUAUUACUAAUGAUGAAUUAGAAUGCCAAUAACUUCCACACUGUCGAUGAUAUUGAUCAAAAGCUGUACACAAUUUAACAAAUUCAAUGCAAGGAGUUUAAACUGGUAUCAUAUUCAGAUUUUUCUACUUUGAGCUAGAUAUGAUAUUUUUUGUGAGAAUAAGUAAUACUAUAUGUGGUAUUAUAAUUAUAAAUGAUUUAAAUUGUCUGCUGUGAAAUUCAAUUCUUCAGGCCUUCAGAGAGGAAUACUUUUGGAACUGGUUCUUCCGAUCUUUAUUUACUAUAUUGAAAAUUUAUUUUUGGAAUAUACUGAUAAUUGUUAUCCACACCAAUCAAUGUCUUCUUCUCAAAUUUCUACUUGUUUCACAAUUCCACAGGUUAUGUGUAACAUAUUCCUGGCAAUGCAUUUUUGUGGCAGACUUGGCUUUACUGAUUUUAUAUACUGUGUAUCUAGAUCAAGACUAUGUAAUAUGAUAUUGAAUCUGAUUCUUACUUUCUUCAUGACAGUUACCAUGGAAACUUGUCUGACAUGCAGUGGUAGCUCGAACUUAAUGAAAUUUUGAAUCAGAAUCGUGUUUAUUUGCUUAUGUCUGUGAUAUAUUUUUAAUUAUACACUAUUGGCUGAA